rnacentral:rRNA from 1 species
UGGAUCCAGACCUUUAUCCUGGCUCAGGAUAAACGCUGGCGGCGCACAUAAGACAUGCAAGUCGAACGAACUUAAUCGAAGUAUUUAUAUUUCGAAGCGGUUAGUGGCGGACUGGUGAGUAACACGUAAGCAACCUGCCUGUUAGAGGGGAACAACAGUUAGAAAUGACUGCUAAUACCGUAUAUGCCAUAGUAAGGACAUCCUUACAGUGGGAAAGGAGAAAUCCGCUAACAGAUGGGCUUGCGUCUGAUUAGCUAGUUGGUAGGGCAAAGGCCUACCAAGGCAACGAUCAGUAGCCGAACUGAGAGGUUGAACGGCCACAUUGGGACUGAGAUACGGCCCAGACUUCUACGGGAGGCAGCAGUCGGGAAUAUUGCGCAAUGGAGGAAACUCUGACGCAGUGACGCCGCGUGCAGGAAGAAGGUUUUAGGAUUGUAAACUGCUUUAGACAGGGAAGAAAAAAGACAGUACCUGUAGAAUAAGCUCCGGCUAACUACGUGCCAGCAGCCGCGGUAAUACGUAGGGAGCAAGCGUUAUCCGGAUUUAUUGGGUGUAAAGGGUGCGUAGACGGGAAUACAAGUUGGUUGUGAAAUCCCUCGGCUCAACCGAGGAACUGCAACCAAAACUAUAUUUCUUGAGUGCUGGAGAGGAAAGUGGAAUUCCCAGUGUAGCGGUGAAAUGCGUAGAUAUUAGGAGGAACACCGGUGGCGAAGGCGACUUUCUGGACAGUAACUGACGUUGAGGCACGAAAGUGUGGGGAGCAAACAGGAUUAGAUACCCUGGUAGUCCACACCGUAAACGAUGGAUACUAGGUGUAGGAAAUAUUAAGUUUUCUGUGCCGUCGCAAACGCAAUAAGUAUCCCACCUGGGGAGUACGACCGCAAGGUUGCAACUCAAAUGAAUUGACGGA